rnacentral:SRP_RNA from 1 species
GCCGGGCACGGUGGCACGCGCCUGUAGUCCCAGCUACUCGGGAGGCUGAGGUGGGAGGAUCGCUUGAGCCCAGGAGUUCUGGGCUGUAGUGCGCUGUGCCGAUCGGGUGUCUGCACUAAGUUCGGCAUCAAUAUGGUGACCUCCUGGGAGUGGGGGACCACCAGGUUGCCUAAAGAGGGGUGAACCGGCCCAGGUUGGAAAUGGAGCGGGUCAAAACUCCCGUGUUGAUCAGUAGUGGGAUCGUGCCUGUGAAUAGCCACUGCACUCCAGCCUGGGCAACAUAGCAAGACCCCGUCUCU